UACGGAAGGCAGCAGUGGGGAAUAUUGCACAAUGGGCGCAAGCCUGAUGCAGCCAUGCCGCGUGUAUGAAAAAGGCCUUCGGGUUGUAAAGUACUUUUCAGUCGUGAGGAAGGUGUUAAGGUUAAUAACCUUAGCAAUUGACGUUAGCGACAGAAGAAGCACCGGCUAACUCCGUGCCAGCAGCCGCGGUAAUACGGAGGUGCGAGCGUUAAUCGGAAUUACUGGGCGUAAAGGGCACGCAGGCGGUUAAUUAAGUUGGAUGUGAAAUCCCCGGGCUUAACCUGGGAAUGGCAUUCAAGACUGGUUAGCUAGAGUCUUGUAGAGGGGGUAGAAUUCCAUGUGUAGCGGUGAAAUGCGUAGAGAUGUGGAGGAAUACCGGUGGCGAAGGCGGCCCCUGGACAAAGACUGACGCUCA
rnacentral:rRNA from 1 species